AUUGAACGCUGGCGGCAGGCCUAACACAUGCAAGUCGAGCGGAUGAAGGGAGCUUGCUCCUGGAUUCAGCGGCGGACGGGUGAGUAAUGCCUAGGAAUCUGCCUGGUAGUGGGGGAUAACGUCCGGAAACGGGCGCUAAUACCGCAUACGUCCUGAGGGAGAAAGUGGGGGAUCUUCGGACCUCACGCUAUCAGAUGAGCCUAGGUCGGAUUAGCUAGUUGGUGGGGUAAAGGCCUACCAAGGCGACGAUCCGUAACUGGUCUGAGAGGAUGAUCAGUCACACUGGAACUGAGACACGGUCCAGACUCCUACGGGAGGCAGCAGUGGGGAAUAUUGGACAAAGGGAGAAAGCCUGAUCCAGCCAUGCCGCGUGUGUGAAGAAGGUCUUCGGAUUGUAAAGCACUUUAAGUUGGGAGGAAGGGCAGUAAGUUAAUACCUUGCUGUUUUGACGUUACCAACAGAAUAAGCACCGGCUAACUUCGUG
rnacentral:rRNA from 1 species